rnacentral:rRNA from 1 species
UACGAAGGGGGCUAGCGUUGCUCGGAAUCACUGGGCGUAAAGCGCACGUAGGCGGAUUGCUAAGUCAGGGGUGAAAUCCUGGAGCUCAACUCCAGAACUGCCUUUGAUACUGGCGACCUUGAGUCCGGGAGAGGUGAGUGGAACUGCGAGUGUAGAGGUGAAAUUCGUAGAUAUUCGCAAAGAACACCAGUGGCGAAGGCGGCUCACUGGCCCGGUACUGGACGCUGA